rnacentral:rRNA from 1 species
CAAGUCGAACGCGAAAGCCCCCUUCGGGGGGCAAGUAGAGUGGCGCACGGGUGAGUAACACGUAGGUAAUCUACCUUUGGAUGGGGAAUAACCACCGGAAACGGUGGCUAAUACCGCAUAAUGCAGCGGCACCUAAUGGUGACAGUUGUUAAAGCGGGGGAUCGCAAGACCUCGCGUCUGAAGAGGAGCCUGCGGCAGAUUAGCUAGUUGGUAAGGUAAAGGCUUACCAAGGCGAUGAUCUGUAGCCGGCCUGAGAGGGCGGUCGGCCACACUGACACUGACAUACGGGUCAGACUCCUACGGGAGGCAGCAGUCGGGAAUUUUGGGCAAUGGGCGAAAGCCUGACCCAGCAACGCCGCGUGAAGGAUGAAAUCCCUCGGGAUGUAAACUUCGCAAGAACGGGAAGAAUAAGUAAGAGCUAACAUCUCUUAUGAUGACGGUACUGUUUGUAAGCUCCGGCUAACUCCGUGCCAGCAGCCGCGGUAAUACGGGGGGAGCAAGCGUUGUUCGGAUUUACUGGGCGUAAAGGGCGCGUAGGCGGCCACCGCAAGUCGACUGUGAAAUCUCCGGGCUUAACUCGGAAAGGUCAGCCGAUACUGCGGGGCUAGAGUGCAGAAGGGGCAACUGGAAUUCUCGGUGUAGCGGUGAAAUGCGUAGAUAUCGAGAGGAACACCUGCGGCGAAGGCGGGUUGCUGGGCUGACACUGACGCUGAGGCGCGAAAGCUAGGGGAGCGAACGGGAUUAGAUACCCCGGUAGUCCUAGCCUUAAACGAUGAAUGCUUGGUGUCUGGGGUUUUAUAGUCCCCGGGUGCCGUC